rnacentral:tRNA from 1 species
UGGGGCGUCGACAAGUUGGUAAGUCAGCGGAUUUUGAUUCCGCCCACCGUAGGUUCGAAUCCUACCGCCCCAACCA